UCCCCCGAUUUGCCGGAAAAAUCAAGGGCUGGGCAAAACAAAAAUGCAGCAAAUUAUUUAUAGCCCGGGUAGAAAUGUGUCAGAGAAUUCACGCUGCAGGAACUGCAACUCAGUGCCAAUUAAUGGCUACGAGAAUUGCUAUCAAGGACAUUGAGAACUGUCAAGGACGAACCACACAUGCGCUGGGGCCACAGGAGAUAGUGUACGGAAAUUGAUUUGCACCAAUUACUUUUCGAUGAAAACAUUUCCUUUUUGAUUGCCCAUAUGGCUAUAUGGGCUUAUCCAAAGGUCAAAAGUGUCCAAGUUGCGUUCUCUGUCUCUCGCGCUGCUCCUAUCUCUUUCAUUGACUAAUUGAAUUGUUGAAACUGACGGUGAGACAAUUUGGGCCGAGUUUAACGCACGCCUACCGCGCCGACUGACUCAGCAUUUGACAAGUUGUCAACUUGUCAACACAAACAACAAAAACAGCAACACCCACAACAAAUAUUUGUAAAUAUUGACGAAUUGCCUGAGAAACAUGAACACCGAAUGCAUUUAAUUAACAAAGCUUUUGGAGUGGCAUCAAAAACGCUUGAGUAGCAUUUUGCAUAACUUCUUGGUAUUCUCCGAGUGCGUCAUUUUUGGCCAGCAACGGGCCCACUUUGUCUGGCAUUGCCAACGCCCACUGUUAUAACCACAGUCGACUCUUUGGUUUUCGACCCGUCAAAUUUGGCCAGUUGCUCUUCUCGCCGCAGCAGCAGCCACAGCAGCCGCCGCUAGUCUGGUCUUUUCUGAGGUCUCACUGUGCGUCUCUUCAUCUCCAGCUCGGCGUCCGUCUCGGCAUCGGUUUCAGCUCGACGGUUUAUUGUAUUGGCCAAGUUGUGUGAGCAAGAGGAAGAGCAUGACAUCAGCCGACGGCGGAAUCACAGCUCAAAUGUUGUGGGUAAGCCAGUAAAUGGGUUGCGGCUAAAAUAUAGCGGGCGUGGGUGGUGUCAUAAAGAAGAAAGCUGUUAUCAUAUAAUUUUACAUACACCCUAUAGCUGAGGUCAAGCUGCUUAGCUAAGUCACGAUAUAACAUCAAAUUUGAUUAUUACUUAAUAUAAAACAAAAACUAAAAUAAAUAAAUAAAAACCACUAAAAUAAUCUAAAAUCAAACUGUAACCCAAUAUACUUUAAUCAAACACUUUUUCUAGGUACUCUCCAUACAACAAAUAUUGAUUAAUUCCUAUAAAGUACUCUUAUUAGUCAUAAAUAUACAAUCAUAAGUUGUGGUUAAUGUUAAAUUUAAAA